GACUAAUGAAGCUACAGGAAGUUGAGGUAUAAGAUCCAAUUAGCGUCCACUCAAUGUGACUGUAAAUGAUGGAAAUCCUGUUUCAUUCAUUAUGUCUUUUUAUCUAAGAUCAGUUUCCAUCUGGUCCCGAUCAUAUUUAGGGUGUAUGAUUUGACGUACUUUGCAUAGCGAAGUAAAUUAAACUUCAUUAUUCAGCUCAAACUAAAAAAUGCAUGGCACUACGCAUGGUGGCAAAGGAUAGUGACGCAAAUCUAAAAUCAUGGCUGUCUCUCCAACAACAGAGCAGUCUCACCUCAGAAAUAAAUGUUCGCUUUAAUUACUCCUUUCAGUGCAAUUUGUGUUUGAUGCUCAACACUUUAAAAUGACAAAAUACCUGGCACAUGGGAUAGUCCAGUUGGUUAGUACUCCGACUCCAGGUUCUGUUUCUG